UACAGAGGGGGCAAGCGUUGUUCGGAAUUACUGGGCGUAAAGGGCGCGUAGGCGGCCUUCUAAGUCGAACGUGAAAUCCCCGGGCUCAACCCGGGAACUGCGUCCGAUACUGGAAGGCUUGAAUCCGGGAGAGGGAUGCGGAAUUCCAGGUGUAGCGGUGAAAUGCGUAGAUAUCGGGAGGAACACCAGUGGCGAAGGCGACUUCCUGGCCUGUUCUUGACGCUGAGGCGCGAAAGCUAGGGUAGCAAACGGG
rnacentral:rRNA from 1 species